CGCAUCCCUCUUCUCUAUCAUUUAUCUGUUCUCAGUUUCUCUUUUUUUUUGCAGAACAAACUCAAUUAAUCUCUCAAGAACAUAUCAAGUACACAAGCCCACCACCAUCUUCAACCCAUUGUGGCUGCAGCAAGCGUCCAAGACCAGCAGGCAGCCCAACCUCCUCCGGCGUCGUCCUCCUCCGGCCUCGUCCUCCUCCGCCGACUUCGAAGCCAUUAAAGUCACCACCCACCAUCUCCUCCAUCUCAGAUCCGCCAUUAAAGCCGGCGAACAAAGAUGUAGCUUCGACGUGGUUGUGGAGGAGGACGUCGGGGACCACCAAGCUAGCUCGGAUCGAUCUCUACUCUCUCUCUUUCCCGAUCUCUUCUCUUUUUCUUUAUAUUUAGGGGUUUCAAAAAGUAGUGGGAAAAUAAAAUUAGGGUUUUCAAAUAUUAAUUUUGGGGUUAAGAUUUCGUAUAUAUAUGUUUGUUUGUUUAUUUGUUGGAUUUUAAUUUGUUUGAAUUGAUUUGAACUUGGUUUUGUUGUU